CUACUAAUAGUCACUGAGUCUGAGAUGGGGUUUCACCAUGUUGGCCAGGAUGGUCUCUAUCUCUUGACCUCGUGAUCUGCCUGCCUCGGCCUCCCAAAGUGCUGGGAUUACAGACCUGAGCCACCGUGCCUGGCCAAAAUCUUGUAUCCCAGGUGUCUGACCUCCUAACACAAGAGCAAGCAAACCUAACUCACCAGAAAAAGAAACUGGAGGGACAGAUCUCAGCCCGGCAACAAGCAGAAGAAGCUUCACAGGAGUCAGAAAACGAACUCAAGGAAAUGAUAGAAACCCUUGCUCGGAAGCUGAAUGAGAAAUCCAAAGAGCAAAUGGAACUUCACCACCAGAAUCUGAAUCUCCAAGAAACACUGAAGAGAGUAGCAAAUUGUUCAGCUCCUUGUCCGCAAGACUGGAUCUGGCAUGGAGAAAACUGUUACCUAUUUUCCUCGGGCUCAUUUAACUGGGAAAAGAGCCAAGAGAAGUGCUUGUCUUUGGAUGCCAAGUUGCUGAAAAUUAAUAGCACAGCUGAUCUGGACUUCAUCCAGCAAGCAAUUUCCUAUUCCAGUUUUCCAUUCUGGAUGGGGCUGUCUCGGA
rnacentral:lncRNA from 10 species